UACAUGGGGUGCAAACGUUGCUCGGAAUUAUUGGGCGUAAAGCGCGCGUAGGCGGUUACUUAAGUCGGAUGUGAAAGCCCUCGGCUUAACUGAGGAAGUGCACCCGAAACUGAGUAGCUAGAGUACGAAAGAGGGUCGCGGAAUUCCCGGUGUAGAGGUGGAAUGCGUAGAUAUCGGGAGGAACACCAGUGGCGAAGGCGGCUUCCUGGACCGGUUCUGACACUGAGGAGCGAAAGCGUGGGGAGCGAUCCGG
rnacentral:rRNA from 1 species